GUGGAUUUACAAUUUGAGGGCAACGCAUGUCCCAGUACAGCGACCCUGACAGCAACAGCAUGGAACCAGCAGUGGCGUACAGCUACUCAAGGAGAGAGUUUGACAAUAUGAUCGGAUUGCGGCUGAAGUACUACGGACCCAAUCCACCGGAGAAAUCGGUGCAGCUUAUAAGGAAUCUAGUGUUCAAGAAUCUGCAACACCGGGCAGAAAGAGAAGGUCAGCUGGCACGUUGGGAAGAACUCCAGCGACAGGUACUGCAGGGAAUUGGGAGCCCAGUCUCCAUUCCCCAGCGGCAGAGUGAAUUGCAGGGAAUUGGGAGCCCAGUCUCCAUUCCCCAGCGGGAGAAAUUGCAGGGAAUUGGGAGCCCGAGCUCCAUUCCCCAGCGGGAGAAAUUGCAGGGAAUUGGGAGCCCGAGCUCCAUUCC